rnacentral:lncRNA from 1 species
CUGGAGGCAAAUUAGAUGGAGGCAAGGAAGCAGAUGGUAUACUAGGGGUACCAGCACUCACAGGCAGCAAAGAUGAUGGUAAUUCAGGCAAAUUAGAAGAUACAGUAGGUAAAGGAGGGGUAAAAUUGGGAUACUGCAUUGGGUGCUGCAUCGAUGAAGGCAUUGAUAAACCAGGUGGCGGCUGAAGCAAAGAUUGUUGUUGUAAUUGAGGAAGCCCGUUUGGGGCACCAUAAUACCCUUGCCAAUACAUUGGUGGCAUAGCAAGCCUACCACCAUUUGCAUUAGGAGCAGGUGGAGAAGCUCCCCACGAUCCUAUGUUCCCUCCAGGUUGAUACAAAGGCAAGGGCCCCAGAAAAUUUGACCCAGGAAGUCCAAGCUGUGUGGUAUGAGAGCUAGGAUCAGUCAAAGACCCACUUACAGCAGAAGGCAAACUUGUAGAUGUGGUCACCGGGUAAGGAUAGUGAGACUGCAUAUGCAAUUCCAUAUAAUUAGGAUGUGGUUAAUUUAACUGAUUCAUAAUUCAGAUAAAUAUUUUCUCAUCCACCUGAAUAAUAGCUGGGUCAUUGUUGACUUGUGGAGUAGGCUGGACAGGUGGAGAAGAUUUAACCUGUAAAUCCUGCAGAAAAAAUUAAGACAGAUGUCUCAGCUGAUCUGAUUCUUGUAUAAUAUGGACAUAAAUCAUAAAACAUUUACACACAGUAACAUCUAAACAAGAUUUUAUUGAGCUAUUAAAUUAACUCGUAAAACAUACAAGAAAAUCUGAAUCAUCCUCCUAAUGUUCCAUCUCCCAGUAUUUGUAUUCAAAGAUUCUAGAACCAAGUUGUACCAAAAAAGUUUCUUUACAAAAUGUCACACAAGUGGCAUGCUAUUGUUUCUAAUGUACACUCAACCAAAUCAGGUACAAAUACAUUAACUAUUUAGAAAAAGCACUUGUAUAUAUUCAAUGCGUGAUACCUUGAUGUCAGUCCCACGGAAAAGUAUAUACUCAUAAACCUUGUCACCUGGAGGGAUUUGUGGGCCAUCCUUUUUCCUUCCUUCUGUUCCAAAAGAUCGCACUACAACAAAAAAAACAAAAGCAUCACUCCACAAAUCCAACCCAUGAUAGUAAACAUGUUUAGGUGGUAAAAUCAAGGCAACAAUAUCCACAUUGUUGCAUGAAACUCUUGCACAUAUGAAAGCUAACGAUCAACAAUCUUGAUCAUUUGAACUGUAACCAAACAGCACAACAUUUAUUACUAACAUACACCAAAAUGUCAUUUAGAAGGAAUACCUUGGCAUAUAAAUUUAAUUUUCUUAAAACACACCCAAAGUGUAACUUGUUAGUGUACUCCUUCUAGAAAAUAAGUUGUGUACAUUAAGGUGUGUGGGUGUGCAUAUAUUGCUCAACUAUAAAAAAUGAUAGUUAUCAAUCUUGGAUAGUGGCGUGGCGACUGACUCCAAUACCACUAUGCAGGAUAGCGGAUAGCAGGAGGACCACUAUUCUGAAAUUUUUUGUUCCUAUUAAUUCAUUUUAUUAUAUGUUAUUUGUUAUUUAGUUUUUUAUUACUAUGUUUAGUUUAUUAUAUUAUAUGUUAUGCUUUAAAUAUAAAAGAGAGAGAGUCUAAACUGGAUUCAAAUAGAGGCCCAAAAAACCAAAACAAAAAAAAGGAGAAAAAUCACUUGGGCACAUUGGCCCAAUUCCCCUAACCCUUUGUUUACCAUAAUCCUAAGAACCCAGCAGCUAUGUGCUGCCGCCACCUUAUUAGAGAUUCAAUUGUAAAUGGAAGAGAGCAAAAUGCAGACAGGUUUUCAGAGAAAGAGACAGCAGAGAUCACAGAUGCAGAAGGGGACACCAGGUCAGAAGGGGCUGUAGUGGCAGUGCAGCAUCAUGGGAGCUGCACUAUUAUGCCAUGAUUCCUGCUAUUCCAGCAAGAAAAGCAUCCGUGACAGUCACAACACUGAGCGCUUUCUAUAACAAAAUGAAAGGGCAGAACAAUCUCUGAGGGAGACCAGGGAACAGUGAGAGAGUGAACUGAAUAGAAAAAGUAGAACAUAGCAUCGGAUAUAGUGCAGAGAACAGAGCAAGGCAAGAAACACCAGGAAGGUGCCAAAAAACAUCAGAAAUUGCCAGAGAUGUCACCAAAAAAGUAGUGGGUCAUGUUUCAAAAAUUGCGAGACACUAGGGUUACCAUUUCAAAAUAGGGUUUUGAUUUCAAACCUUGAAUAAGGGAAGUGAAAUCACGCAAAUGUCUCCCAAAAUAAACCUUACACGACACUGUAUUGUGGGGGUAAACAAAGGUUCCAACCACUAAUCAACGUUGCACCCACUAAUGCUGCAAACGGCUGCGAUUCAUGAUGCUCCAGGCAUGACAGCGAACUACAACAGCAAUCUACAUGGAGUGAACUAUGCGACACACUACAUGGAGCGAACUGCGAAGCGACACACUACAACUGUUCUAGAGUGUGUUACACGCGACAGCGGUUCUAGAGCGCAUGAUUGCCAAUCCUGGAAUACAGAUAUGUAUGCCAAUUAUUAUUCUCUCACUAACAUUAAUAUCCCAAACAUAGUAGGAAAAAUCAUGAAUUUCCAUUCUUUAUUCAAUGUGGCCUUAGUGUUUGGAAGCUUUUCCAUUAAUCUAUCACCACUGGAGUAUUUGAAUUUUGCUUCUUUUAGUGUUGCACAUGAUUCUCACAGCCUAUCGCCUUAGGGACUUUCUAAGCUUUCAGGUUUGUUAUUUGCUCCUUGCAUUUAUUGAUCAUGAAGCUUUCCACUAAUCCGGAAUGAGACAACUGUACAGUUCACAAAAGCAAGCAGCGAAUAGCAAACUAAAAAAAUUACAAGAAUCAAACGCAUGUCAUUGUCCAAGUGAGAAUCACAUUCCAACAUUGAAAAGAGCAAAAUUCAGAUACUCCCAACAGAUACAGAUUAAAACCACAUAGCAUACUUAGAGAUAUCAGUAAAACAUGCAACCCAGACGCUGUAGGGAGAGAAAAAAAACAUCAAGUCCCCAAAAACUAUCACAAGUUCACAAAAUUCCUUCCCUAUGGCAGGAAUUCACAUCCCUGAGACAAACCCAAUCUUCAGUAUUAAAUAAUAAAAACAACAACAUCAAUAACAAAGAUCAAAUUUCGUCAGUGAAUUCAGAGAUCUGAAACCAAAGCAACCAAAUUAAACUGAAAAAGAACAAAACCCAGAAAGGAUUAAGGGAAAUUCAUGGAAAAAAUACAAGUGGGUAGCAGAAGAAUACCGUUUCUGAGGCCAAUACUGGACUCUUCGGUGUUGAUGUUGUAGAGUAUGCCUUCGUAUCUGAUCUCACUCUUAGAGGUCAAGCUUAUCAAGCUCCCAAUGUACGAAUCGGCCGCGGAACUCGAUCGAGAAGCGCUCUCAGACGCCAUAAUCGCAAGUGAACCAGAAUAGGGUUUGGGUUUUGGGGCCUCUUGUUUGAAGCCUCUAAUCUAAUCGGUUUCGAGUUUCUUUCAACUGGAGUGACGGGAUGUAAAUGAGAGAUUAUUAUGUACUAUUAGGGUAUGAGUUUCAUUCUUUGAUCGUACCUUUUAAAAUAAAUUCCCAAGGCCACUAAAUCUAUUCGGUUUCAGGUUUCAGGUUUAAGGUUUCAAUUGGAGUGAUGGGAUGUGAAUCCGAUGUUGUAUUAGGGUUUGGAUUUCAUUCUUUGAUCUUAUUAAUAUUAAAGUUAAAAUAUGUUUUUCGAUCUUUUAUCUUUUUUUUUUUUGUCCUCACAAAAUAAUUACAUUGUAUUACUUGUUAGCUCACAAUUAAGUUUGGACGAAUUCGAACUUAUUUGUAUGAUUAUUGUGUAAGUUAAUCUAUCAGUCAAUUACACGUUGACACAUUUUAAAACCUACCCCUCUCUUUAAUCAAUGACACCAAGUCACCAACCCUCUCUAUAUUUGUUCUUCCUUUCUUCGCCAACACUUUUCCCUAAAUCACUACACCUCAUGCCUUCGUUGUCCUUUCUCUAUUGUCGUGAUUACCCAUCGCAAUAGAGCAUGACUAUUGGAGAGUCACACCACGAGAGGGUGUGGGGAUUAUCUCAAUGAGCCUCCUUACUCGAAGCAUUCUUUCUUGGUCAUAGCAGGGUCCUACUGCACACGGUACUGAACAUCAGUGAACGGCUAACCAAGUCCAAGAUCCAAUCCCGACUCCAACAACAUAGGUAUAUAUCAAUAGGUAAGGACCUCAUCCCCCCCCCCCCCCCCCCUUCGUGGUGUGAAAAUCAUCAUUCGAUCGUCGCCUUGCAAGUAUUGAUAACUUUCUAGCAUGACGCCCCCACACGACUCUUUUCAACUUGCAAUUCAAUUGUUAAGUCAAAAUACAUUUGUGUCUUAAAGAUGAAUCAUGACUUCUAAAUAUUUUGAUUUACCUGCCAAUAAAUACCAAUGAUAAAAGUUGUAUUUGAUGGGUUAUUGCAUUAUGAUUUGUAUUUCAGCGUUGAUGUUUUCGACGAUAUCUCUCUUUAACACAAUCUGGCAUAACAUUUAAGUGUUGCAUUUAAGACUUUCAUUUAAUAUUAUGCAUCUGAGAUUGUGUUUUGCAGAAAACAUUCUCCUAGGAUCUAUCAAAGUCCAAUGAAGAAUAAAUGAAGUCCAAGGUAUAAAAGUGUUGAUCUUCAUUAAAAAAUGUGUUCUACUGUGUAGACCUACUUUGAUGGAAGAAAUGACUUUUUCUUGAAGUGUUUGUCACGCCAACCUAUCAGCAUGGACUUUCUGCAUGAAGAAGGGAUGUGCGUUUGAAUGAAGAAUCAAUCUAUUAAGAAAUAACAAACACUUGAAGAUAAAGACUAUAAAUAGAAGAAACUUUGAAGAACAAAUUCGAAUUAAUCUUGUGUGAAAUAUUCUAUCAUUUUUUCAAGUAAAGCUUUUUGUAGAUAAUUUUCUUAGUUUUCUAACAAGGUAAUCCAAUUGAUUAGCAAAAAUCUAUAAGAAACUCCUACAAAUUUCUCAAGGCAACAAGACAAAGUGUUUUCCAAUUUUGACAUAGUCCGAAGAUGUAUAAAUUUAUUCCUCUUCCCAAAACCAAUUUGAGUGCUAAUUUUUACAGUUUUAGUUUUAAGCUAACCGAAACAUCUUUCCAACAAAGUAUAAAUUCUUCAAAAAAUGUUCAAAAAGAUGAAAGUGGAAGUGUCAUACAAUUGCCAUGUUUGCAACAAACUUGAACAUGGCAAAUGCACAUUCAACUUUGGCAAAUGGCAAACACGACUUUGCUUUAUUAUAUAUUUUUAAAAACAUGUUUGACUAAAAUGAAAAUAUAUAACUUCUGCAUUAAGCUGGAAAUUUUAUAUCAACUUUCAUUAUAAACUUGCUUUUUAGAUAAGAGUUUACAAAUUUAAAUCCCUUAAAAUUUAGUGUGUUUGGUUUCACAAUCGAAAGCUUUAGAAUUGAUUUUCCUUCCUGUCCAACAUGAUUUUAGUUAAAAUUGAUAUGUUUUGAUAUUAAAAAAAAUUGAUGCUUGUUUAUUGUUAGGAAAAAUUGAUUUUGCCUCCAAACCUAGGUUUAACUAAAAGUGAUAAAACAGAGAUCAUAAAUCUCCAAAUGCUAGUGUUAGAGAUAACUGGAACUUUGAGGUUUUUAGGAAUGCUGCAAAUGAGGCCAAGUCUUUCUUUGAUAUGGCCUUUCCUUGCUCGGAUUUUGGAUAAUUAUGUAAUAUUUUUUAGUUGAUUUUCUUCAACCAAUUAUUAUAUUUUUUUAAUGGAUGAGAUUUAACCAACGUUAAAAAUAAUAGAAGAAGAAGAUAAGAUAAACUUCAUCAACUUUAAAUAUAGCAAGUGUUAAAUACGAGCUACACAGUAAUAGUAAGCAACCAGACAAUCUUAUGUUAUUGUCAAAUAAUAAUAAUAAUAAUCUUUAUCUUAUUAAAAAAAUUUAUCUACUUUUAUAUUUUAAAUACUGGUAUGUAUUUUUAUCAAAUUGAUAACUAGAUAAGAUUUUAUCCUAUAUUUAAAAAAUAUGAAAUUUUAUCUUCUUUCAUACUUUAAUAAAUACUAGAUUUGGGCGAUGGACCUUUAGUGUGACUCGUUGGUUUUAGUUUUAGGAUAAAGAAGACUUGUAGAAAAGAAAAGUAGCAAAAGAGAUAAGGUAAGAGUCUAGUUGGGAACUGCAUGAACUUAUAUUUUUAUUAAAUGAAACUAAUAUUUAAAUACAUUGAGAUGACUGAAUAAAAGAUAAUGUCUCUUGAUUUUAGGAGAUAUUACUGAUAACUUGAAAAUAAAAUCAUAAACUAACUUAUUCAUAACAACAAAAUGAUAAUUUUGACUUAUUCAAAUUAAAAUUUCUUUGGAAGCAUCACAAAGGCUCAACACUCUUUUUUGCCUUGGAGGCUGCAAAAUCAACUUAUUGAUUUAUAGUGCCUUGGAGAAGACAUCAACAAUUUGAUCUUCUGUUUUAGAUGAGAAUUUUCCUCUUGAAAUACUAUUGCUUCCUUCCCAUAUGAUUCGGUCUUGGCAUUUUCAACUUUCAAGUUCUUAGUCAAGGACUUCUUAAGCUCAAUUUUUGCAUCUUUCUUCUUUAUUUCAUCUUCCUUUUUAAUCAAAGUCCCAUAAAAUUUUUCUCUUAAAGCGUAUUCACUCAAUUGUAUCAGCUUGUUUGUGAGCUCUUGCAUAGUAGCUUCAUAUUUUUCUUUAGUAGCAUCACUUUGAGACUUGGAAGCGCUUAUUUCAGAAAUAGUUGAUACAUUGACAUUCUCUUUUUUUUAUUGGAAAUGCAAUUUGCUCCUCCUCCAAUGGAUUUAAAGCAAAACUUUUUUCUCUCAUUUUUAAUUUGAGAAUAUUUGUAUCAUCUGCAUCUUUAAUCAAACAACUUUUGUUUUCAAACAAUACUUUAAAACCUUUCCCAACUAGUUACUCAACACUCAACAAAUUUUUAACAAUUUCAGGAACAUACAACACAUCAGAAAUAAGCUUUGUAUCUCUAUUGGUUGAGAUUGUUAUUGUUUCUUUUCCAUUAAUAGUGAUGUACUUGCCAUUUCCAACUUUAAGCUUCAAUGUGCUUGCAUUGUUUAGUUCCUUGAAUAGAUCUUUCUUGUUUGUCAUGUGGUUAGUACAUAUGUCAAUAAGCCAAUUUUGAUUUGAUUCAAUGCUAGAGAAACAUGUAGCAGUAAACAGGUACUCCUCCUUUUCUACCUCUUCCUAUUGAUCAGCAACCUUUGCAACUUCUCCAUGUGGUUGAUUCAUCAAUUUGCAAAUAAUAGCUUCAUGCCCCAUUUGAUUACACUCAGUGCACUUAGCAUCAAGUAUUCUCCAGCAUUUAAAUGGAGGAUGACCUUUCUUUCCGCAGUAUUGACAAGGUGGAUAAGAUUUCUUUCAAUUUCCUUUUGCACUAGUUGAUGUUGAACUCGCUCUAAUUGCAUCAAAAUCCUUGUUUUUCUUGGAUUUGGACAUAUUUUGUUGCUUGGCUAGUAAAGCUCCUUCAACAAUAUGAUCUUGCCUCAUAAGCCUUUGUUGCUCAUGGGCUUGCAAAUCAUGCAAUACUUCUGACAAAGUGAUCUUAGACAAAUCAUUUGUGUUCUCUAAAGUGGUUAUUGAUGCUUCAUAUCUCAAUGGUAUCGUAACCAUAAUUUUCUCAACAAUUCUGGAAUCUGCAAAUUUAGUGCCCAACAAUCUAACCUUGUUAGCAAUGUCAAGUAGUCUAUAUGAGUAACCUUUAAUCAUCUUAGACUCUUUCAUUUUUUGCAGCUCAAAUUCCCUCAUCAAGUUCAACACUUGCAUGCCCCGAGUUCUCUCGUCUCUUUCAUAUUCUUCCUUCAAAUAGUCUCAAAUUUCUUUGGGUAUCUUGAGGGUCAUGAUUCUUGUUAAGAUCAUUUGUGAAACACCAACAAACAAACAUGACCUCGCCUUUGCCUUCUUGGUUUUUCUCUCCUUAUGAUUCUUUAUUUGGGCUAUGGUGGGAUUUUCAGGCAACGGAUGUAAUUCAUAAUCCUCUUCCAUAGCAUCCCACAAAUCCAACGACUCUAGGUAAGAUUGCAUUUCACUUCCCAAUGGUCAUAACUCUCCCCAUGAAAGAGGAAAAGAGUUAGCUUGGAAAAACUUGUUUCACCUUCCAUUCUACAGGUCUCGUAAGAAAAAAGACUUUAGAUACCAAUUAUUGGUUUAGUUUUAGGAUAAAGAAACAUAUAUUUUUAGGAAUCUAUUUGGGAACUACAGGAGCUAGAGCUUAUAUUUUUAUUGAGUGAAACUCAUAUUUAAAUACAUUGAGAUAACUGAAUAAAAGAUAAUGCCCCUUGGUUUUAGGAGAUGCUACUGAUAGUUUGAAAAUAAAAUCAAAAACUUGAAUAAAAAAACUAACUAAUCCAUAACAACAAAAUGAUAAUUUUGACUCAUUCAAAUUAAAACUACUUUGAAAGCAUCACCAAGGCACAAUCUUGACUUUUUUUUUCCUGAGUUAAUUUACUACAUCCAUUGAUUGUCCAUGUUAAUCAUUACUCUGAUUCAGAAGACCAAUACAAUAUGAUCAAAAUCAUGUGGUGUUAAAGAACAUAGACUUACUUUGAGCAUUCUGAUUUCUUCAAAGUAAUAGCACUAGAGGCACGACCCGAUUAAUUAAGACCAGGAGCAUAUCGCUGGCAGAAGGAAUGAGUCAACUGGUGCACACCUGCGACUGACCAAUCGACCCAACCAAAGGUCAUACUACAAGAUUUUUAACUGCAACAACUUAAAUAUAAGCUAUUGGAGCUGGAAUUACCACAACUGUUUGCCCUCCAAUGGAUCCUUUUUAAGGGAUUUAGAUUGUGCUCAUUCCAAUUACCAAAUCCAAUAAGUCAAGUAUUGUUAUUUUUUAUCACUACCUCCUCAUUUCAAGAUUGGGAAAUUUUCAUGCCUUUUGCCUUCCUUGAAUGUGGUAGUCGUUUCUCAAGCUUUCUCUUUGGAAUUGAACCCUAAUUCUCCAUCAUGAAAGUAUUUAUACAAUGUGAUAGCUUUUGCAUUGAGUUGAAAAAUUUAUACAAUGUGGUAAUUUUUGCAUUGAGUUGAAAAUUUUCUAUAAUGUUUUACAUGAAGCUUGUUGAGUUGUUAAAAAUCAUAUCAUUUUAAAGUCUAAAUGAUAAGGUUUAGUGGACUUCUUAUAACUUCCCAGGCAACGAACGGCCCAUGUCGUUGCAAUCCGAACACUUCACCAAAUCAUUCAAUCGGUAGAAGCGAUAAGUGGUGUGUACAAAGGGCAAGGACACAAUCAACUCAAGCUUAUGACUCGUGCUAACUAGGAAUUCCUCGUUGAAAACCAAAAAUUGCAAUGAUCUAUCCCCAUCACAAUGAAGUUUCAAAGAUUACCCAAGCUCGUUGACCAAGGUCAUAAAUUUGUUGAAUACAUUAGGGUAGCACAACCAGUGCAAGUUUAAUUGUUGUCAAGUAAUUUCAGAUCUCGACCAACUUGGAAUCCUAGCUUAUUCUCAUCAUGCCCUUAAAGAGCUACACCUCAUCUUAUUGCAAGUCACUACAACAGUUUAACAUAUAGACAUAUGUAUCAUUAGAACUAUGGAUAAAAUCAUUCACAUAUAACAUAAGUAUAACACAAGUCACACUUGGCAUCCACUUCAUAAACCACACAAGUUAGACAAUUCACAAAAAUGUACAUAUGCAAUGCGAUGUUGCUUUCUCUUUUCUUAUAUGCAUGUGGUACUAGAAAAACAUUUGCGAAAGAAACUCGAGUGGACAUGUAGAAACGAACCUCCACAAUUCCAUCAUUACACUCUCAUCGAGACAAAAUUGUCAAUGGCACAUCAGGCUACACAUUCUUGCAAGGAUACUCUAGCCCAUGGGAUCAACAUGAGGCACAUAAAUAGUUCAAAUUGGAUACCUCCAAGGACAGAGUACUUCAACUCAUUCAUGCCCUCCCCAAUAAGCUUGACCACAUCCUCCGUCUUAAAAUCAUUUGCACAUUUAUGAUGAAUGUCUCAAACAUUCAUACACAAGUGGCUCCAUCCAACCUCACAUCAAACAUAAUUAAUCAAUCUCGCCCCACAUAGGAUAGGUAACUCAUAGUAAAAAAUGUGGAAGCAAUGCCUUUUAAGAUUAUUUUGAUGAUGCCAAAGAAUCAAGAGUCAAACAAGUUUCAAGAAUCAAGAUCAAGAUUCAAGAUUCAAGAAUAAUCAUGAUCAAGAUUCAAGAUUCAAGAUUCAAGUAAAGAAUCAAGACUCAAGAUUUAAGAAUCAAGAGAAGACUCAAUCAAGAUAAGUAUUAAAAGAUUUUUUCAAAAACUAUUGAAUAGCACAAUUUUGUUCAAGAGAAUUUUUCAAAGAGAAAUUUUUUUUACCAAAGAGUUUUACUCUCUGGUAAUCGAUUACCAGAAGGAAGUAAUCGAUUACCAGUAGCCAACUUUCUUUUCAAACUGAUUUACAAAGCUGUAAUCGAUUACCAUAAUCAUGUAAUCGAUUACCAAUGUUUUAAAACGUUAGAUUUCAAAUUUCAAGAGUCACAACUUGUGAUAAAACAUUUUCAAAUCAUUUCAAACUUGUGUAAUCGAUUACACAAUACUUGUAAUCGAUUAUCAGUGUUUCUAAACAUUUUGAUUUUCAAAUUUAAACAUGAAGAGUCACAUCUGUUGAUGUGUAAUCGAUUACACUAUGAUGGUAAUCGAUUACCAGUGACUUGUUUUGAAAAAUAAAUAACCAAAAGUCACAAUUCUUAAAGUGACUUGUUUCUGAAGAUUUUUUCAAAAGUCACAACCUUUAAGUGACUAGUUUUCAAAAAAGUCACAACUUUUAAAGUGACUAGUUUUCAAAAGAGUCACAACUUUUAAAGUGACUAGUUUUAAAGAAAUUGCCAAGAGUCACAAACUUUAACUUGAGUCAUCAAAUGACUAUAAAUAUGUGACCAUGGCAUGAAUUUCUAAAAUUGUGUUUUACAGAACUUUCUGAUUCAUUUCUUAACAUCUUUCUAAGAGUUUUUGUUCAGAACUUUCUUUAUUCAAGAAAAGUUCAUUGGCCAAAAACUUGUGCUAUUCUUUUUCUUCAUUCUUUCUCUCUCUUGCCAAAAGAUUCAAAGGACUAAUCGCUUGAGAAUUCUUUUGUUUCUUCCUUCUCUCUUGCCAAAAGAUUCAAAGGACUAACCGCCUAAGAAUUCUUUUGAUUCCCCCUUCUCCCUCUUGACAAAAGAUUUCAAAGGACUAACCGCUUGAGAUAUCUUCUGUUUCUUACUAAAGAUUUCAAAGCACCAACCACCUGAGAUAUCUUUUUCCCUUUCCCUUUAUACAAAAUAUUUCAAAGGACUAACCGCCUGAGAUAUCUUUUGUAUCCCUAUCACAAAGAAUUCAAGGGACUAACCGUCUAAGAAUUCUUUGUGUUAACACAUUGGAGGGUACAUCCUUUGUGGUACAAGUAGAGGGUACAUCUACUUGGGUUGUUAUACUGAGAACAAGAGUGAGUACAUCUCUUGUGGAUCAGUUCAAGUGGAGGGUACAUCCACUUGGUUGUUCAAAGAGAAUAAGGGAGGGUACAUCCCUUGUGGAUCUUUGCUUGUAAAGGAUUUUACAAGGUUAUGGGAAAUCUCAAGAACCGAUGGUUGCUUGGGGACUUGAUGUAGGCACGGGUUGUGGCCGAACCAGUAUAAAUCUUAUGUUUGUCUUCUUCUUCCCUACACUCUUUAAUUUUCGCUGUGUACUUUUUAUUUCUGCUUUACUUUUGUCUAAGUUAUUGUUUCUGUUCUUUACUUUCUAAUAACUUAGUAGUAAAGCCUAAUUGAAUCUAGUAAUAUUAAGAAGGAUAAAUUUUAAUUAGUCAAGACACAUUAAUAAUUAAUUCAACCCCCCCCCUUCUUAAUUAUUUCGAGGUCAUUUGAUCCAACAAAAAAUACCACCUGAACCCAUUCUCGCCCUACAUAGGCUAGGUCACUCAUCUCAAUGACAUCUAACCAUAACUCAUCAUAACAUGAUGAUCCUUGCUCCACAUGAACUCAGGCCGCAUACAAAUUUUCAAAAACAUUGUCAUGGUGUUAGUUGACACCAUGUACAUAUGAACAUCAUACAUUACAAUUCACACUUUAGAGAUAAAACAAAACAUUCAAUGAUUACACAACACUCAUAAAUCACCAUUCAAGUUAUAGCAUCAACACAUUAUUCAAUAUCAUCAUUCAAUCAAGUCAUGUACAUCUUAAGUCUAUGUCAUACAUCAAUUAUAACAUUUAUCUACUUUUUAUUAAGAUUGGUAUAACAUCCUUAAAAUUUUGAGUAUUACUUCUAUCAUUUUUCGAUAUGUAUCUAUGACAUCUCCGAGGUGUAACCACCAUAUCUAUGGUUCUACUAAUCCUAUUAAAUUGCAUUGUAUCUUGUUUUAAAGCUAACACAAUUAUCUACAACUUCUAUGUUUACCUUGAAAUCUAGUCCAAUCAUCUACUAUGCCUAAAAUUAGGAAGAACACAAACUAAUUGCACAAUCCUGACAGCUUGACCUUUGCUCACAAAUUGUUCUAUAUAUUGAGUUCCAAAAGUCCAAAUUAGGUGAAACUAAAGCCAAUAGUUACUAAAAUCUAGGGCUACAUUUCUUAUGAAGACACCUAAGCCCAAUUUGACCAGAUUCAUAGUUUAUUUUUCACAUUAAAUUCACAUUUCUGGUUACUCUAUUCACAUCUCUUGAUUUCCAUUUCAUUCUCCUAAUUCAAGAUAAAAUAUCUAAUUCUUAAGAUGAGUUAAAUUACUUACACCAUCAACUAUUACUAUGGCUGAAACAUGGGUGUCACUUAAAACACAACCUCACACUGCGGAUAUACCCCAAGUUUAAAAACUCAAGAGAAAGAUAAAAAUAUUAACUAUGAGAGACUUCACGCUUAACGCUAAUCCCACUCUAUUGUGUGGUGUUCCUAAGGCUUGGUGGUCUUCUCUAUAUAUAGGGAAAGAAAGGAAACGAGUAAACAACACCUCAAACGGACAAAUAUAACUCAAGAUAUCACAAACUCUUUCUAGGAUUUUUGUCAUAAAACUAAAACUCAGUUUUUCAAGCAUUAUAGUUAUAAAAAGUUAAUCUAACACUCCUCUAACACCAAAUAUAAUAACUACAACAUUAACAUAAUUGUAUAAAAAUAACACCAAACAUAAUAUAAUAUAAUAUAAUGUAAUGUAAUAACAACAACAACAAUAAAAAUUUACAGAAAAUAUAACAGAAGGGUCCUAAUAAAAAUUCUUCUUAAAGUAUAUUCCUAGUGCUCGAAAUUUAGGGUGUUAUAAAGACUCUUCCAAAAAAUAUUGUCAUUUUCCACCCUCAAUUCUCAUUAUAUAGUCAGGUCAAAGCAUCUUACUUUGGCUUGUUAUUUAAGGUUACAAGUGAUUUGAGCACUCCAGGACUUACCUUGUGAGAAAGAACACCUGCCUCUGAUGUAAGGUAAGAUUUUUCCUUCACAAGGCUCUGUAGUCUCUUCGCCUCAAAGUCAAGCUGUGUUUGAUCUGUAAAUAAUUACGUGGUCAGUAAAAAAGAGAUAUCAAGCAAUUAUUAUUAGAAAACUGUUUUUCAAUACAAGAAGGACUUCAAUAAAGCAAGAACUCAUUAAAAGAAUAGGAGUGCAGAUAGUCAGUCUCAUCAGAACUUCUACCCAAACUAUAAAGUUGAUGCAUAUUAAUGAUCAUCCAUGCUAAAUCAUUUGCUUAUCAAAGUACAUAUUUUAUGUUCCGGGAUGAAACAUAAAUUAAUAUAAAAAUAAUCAGAAAGUUCCUAUGUGGCUAUGUCAACAAUUCAGAUUUAGUUAUAGACAAAAGAAUCACUCUAUUAAGUGGCAUUUGAAAACCUAAACAGUGUAUUAGACAAGGCCACUUUUAGUUAAAAUUAAAUUCAUUUCAGUGUAGCAGUAUUUUUCAAUCACAUAAAGAAAUUGCUUACCAUAAUCAGGAUGAUCCAAUAAAUAGUAUGACAGGCAAUUUAAACAUCUUAAAAAAAAAUGUACGAACAAGAAAAGAGAAACAGUCAAAACACCAGUGAGACAUGAUUGCAUUGCAUCUGAAUAUCAUUUCUCACAUCAAAUAGGAAAAAAUUUUAUAACCCAGACUCCAAACUAAUGCAUAAAACCCAGCUUUUCAUUUCAUCCACUAUAAUAUGAAAAAACAUAUAAUGAGGUGGAAAAGAUUUAUCUCACAUGUAUUCCCAUUAAACUGAAGAAAAUAUAAUAGGAUUUACGAGUUAUGGCCAAACAUAAACCAAAGAAUGCUCCCACAGACACAGAAGUCAUAAGCAAGAAUUAUACCCCAGCACAUGAAAAAAAAACAUGGGUAAACAUUUAAAUACAUUUUCUUGCUUCUUUUUUUCACAUUAGUGUUUUUUUAAAAUACAUUUUUGGUCCCUAUAAUUUAGCAUUUUUCUCAUUUUCAUCCUUGUAAAAAUAAUUUGUUUUAGUCCUUACAAAAAAAUUGUUUUAUUUUUCAUCCUUAAAGUGUUUUAGAUAGCGUUUUGAAUGAUAAAAAAAGUGUUUUGAACAGUAAAAAAAGCAUUAUAACACUUUAAGGAAGAAAAACAAAACAAACACAUUUUGCAAGAACUAAAACAAAAAAAAAAUUAAAGGAAUAAAAAUGAGAAAAACGCUAAAUUAUAGAGACCAAAAAUGUAUUUAAGCCUUUUUCUUUUUAAUGGUUAGAGGUUAGGACGGGCAGCAAUGAAAGCACCUGUUUCCAAUAUAGUAUGAGCCGCAUGAAAUGGAAUUCUGGCAAACAGAUCAGUUCCUGGAAACAUCAUCCAUGUCUGCUCAGAAGAGUCAUGUUUGCCACAGGUGGUGCAAACCUCUUGCACCAAAGGUCUCGAGCUGGUCCCUGCUACUCCUUUCAUUAUUGAUUCAAAAGGAGAUGGAACACUACUCUUGGUUGUCCGAGCCCUCUUCCUUAAUGCAGUAAGUGCUUCUCUAUUCCCAUUUCUCAAUCUAUCAUUCUCAACCAGCUUUACUUUUACCAAAAGGAACAAAUGCAUAGCCACUUAAUUUCAAAGAAAAGCUAUUAAAGAGAUCCAGUAGGAAAAAUAAUACACUUUAUUGGCAUAAUACACAAAAGAUUUCUGAAUUGAUUGGUAUUGAAUUGAUUGCUGUUAAGGACAUAGCACAGUAAUAUGGAAAUUACUUUGGGAUUAAGUAAUUAGUUACUUUGUGCAUCCAAACUGAACGCCAUAAGUCAUUUAAUACACAAAAGAUUUCUUCAUUGAUUGAUAUUGAAUUGAUUGCUGUUAAGGACAUAGCAUAUGGUUUCACAAUUUAGGAAUGCUAGUUGCCCAACUACUUUGGUUAGUAGGCCACGGUUAAAUAGUUUUUAUGUCAUUUAAGGGUGAGUUUAAAUAUGCUUUUUUGAAGAAAAAACCACUAUUAAAAUAUAGUUUUCCAAAAGCUACUCUUUCUAACUUGUAGAGAGGCACGAGAACUGCCAUAUUUUAGACUAGUUUUUCUUUAAAAAAAACUUAUAAUUAUCUUAAAAUCUUUAAACAACAAUUCAGCUUUUUCCCACUUUUUGGGGUUGGCUACAUACAUCGAUCAAACAAUGCCAUGUUUAGCCCUAAAUCAUGUUGAUAUAGACAAACAAUUGACCUUUAAAUCUUCCUAAAUUGUUUUGCCUAUAGUUUUUCUGCCUCCCUCUGCCUCUAGUGCUUAGGCUACCUUCCAUCUGAUUUACUCUACUUAAGAGAGGGUCCUAUAGAUCUUUUCCAUACAUACCCAAACCACAUACAUGUCAUAUUUUAAAUUUACAAAACAUUUUUAAAUUUAAAAAGCACCAUUUUCUUUAAAAGAGUACAAAUGAAUGGGGUGUAAAUUUGCGUUUCCUUUUCAAACAAGCUAAAAGCUUAGCAAGCUUUCAACAUGGAGGGGGGAGGGGGGAGGAUAUGAAUUAUAAGAAAAGUACUACCAGGUCAUGUAAUUAAGUACAUAUAAUUCGAGUUGAAGGGCAUAAGAUAAGAUUCUUGUGCAACAAUGCAAGUGAACCAUUCUUAUUUCUUGGUAAUUUGUUUAGUCCCUCUCCUCCCCCCCUUCCCCAGCUAUCUCUCCCUAAAAAUCUUGUCUUUCAAGAAAGGUGACAACACUCAACACACUAGUUUUGUGACACAUUACAAUGAUUUGUGAAUGGAUUUAGCAUACUUAGGAGGUUAUAUUGACAUUUUAAAAUGUUAAGAAACAUUGGUGUUUUUCUAUAGUAGAAGUAGAUGUUUUCACAGGAUUUCGAUUUAGUUCAUUCAAGUUUAUAAACUUAAAUUGAAUGAUUAAAAGGGAAAAAUUCAAAUUAACAUAAGGUUUGGAACUUUGGCUCAUGUGCGACUCAGUCCCUAAGCUUUAAAAAGGUGUAUUUCAACCCUUAAAAGUUUUCAACAUAUGCAGAAUAACUAUUAAUUUUUCCAUCAAAAUUUGACAGAUACAGUCACAUGAAUAGCAUGUGAUGUGACUAAUUUGUUUCCAAAAUUACCCCUAAAAAAUACAAAUUAGCACUCUAAAGUUUGAAUCAUGUGCAACUUGGAAGAAAUACACCAUUUUAAAGUCAUAUAUGAUUAAGAUUAAGUUGCAAACGAUUCAGACUUCAAGGUGCCAAUUUCAAUUUUUCCUUAGGGGUGGAUUUUGAAAACAAAUUAGUCACAUGUUAAUCAUGUGAUCGAGUUUAUCAAAUCUUAAUAGGAAAAUUAACAGAGGCUGUUUUGCACACUUGAAAACUAUAAGGAUCAAAAUACACCUUUUUAAAGUUUAGAGACCAAGUUGUACAUGACACAAAUCUCAAGGUGCUAAUUUAAACUUUUCUUUGAUUAAUAUGCUACAAAACUGUUUCAUCUUGAAGAAAUAUCAUUGAAAUAUGAAGAUCUGUGUAACAGUCUCUAGUUAUAUUGAUUCACUAAUGAAAUGUGCAGGAUAUUUUCACCAUAAAAACUGGUGUAAAGGAAAUAUAUUGGAAAGAAGAAGCUAAUAAGGAAAGGAAAAGUGGAGAUACUAGAUGUGAGGAAGGUGUCUCAAAUUCAGCCUUAUCAUGUUUCCAAGAGAAUAUUUGAAUGCGGCAAUAGAUUCUACCAGCCAAGAAAAAAGUUACAGCUAAACAAAAUAACAAUUAUUAACUUUACCCUGUGCUUUCUAGUUAAGGCAUCAAGUUAUUGUCCUCAAUAUGGCAAUAGAAGCUAGAAUUUACUCUUUAAAGAAUUUUAUUACUUACUUUGUUUCCAAGUCUUUGUAAUAAUGUUAAUCUCCAUCAAUUUGAAUUACCAUGUUGGGCUAAAAGAAGAUUCUGUGACACCCUCUAUCCUCACAAAUAUAAAUAAGUAACUAAAUAGAUCAUACAAAAUUUAUUAUUAAGUUUAUAAACACAUAAUAAUACAAGAAGGAGAAAAAAAAACAUGCAAAAUUAAUUAAUAAUUUUGUUUUUAAACACGUUUAAUUUAAAUCAAUUCAAAAGGAUAAAAGGUUCACAUCCACUUACUGAAAACAUAAUAGAAAUUUUUUAAAAUAAAAUAUAAAAUUAUCCCGGCUCAAAACAAGGUCGUCCACUCUAAAUAAAUAAUAAAAAAAACUAAAAUAGAAAAGUAUAAUGCAAUUAUAUCAUUCAGUAAAUCAUAACAUGCAAAAAUCAUAAUAAGCGAAGUAAAAUCCUAUGCCCCAAUGUCACAUUUAUUAGAGCAUAUCCCUAUCACAGACUAAGUCUCUCCAUCUCUAGCAUGUGGCUCAUCAUAUGAAGGCUCACCUGAAACAAAGUGGCAAUCAACCCAAACACACACACACCAGGAGUAAGUUAUCACAUUCGUAUAUAAUAAAAUAUUAGAGCAUGUGAAACAUAUAAUACUUAAAGCUGAAUUUAUAUAAAUAACAUUACCACACAACAUCGCACACAUUAUUCACACCCACUCAAGUUCACAUACUCCAUAAAAUAACAUCAACCACAUUUGUUAAAUCAAUGAAAUUCAAACACAAGCGUUAUGCAACAAUUAUACUAAGACUCAAGCCUACAUGCAAUGUGGUACCAUGUCAGUGAAAAAUAACACUGGGCACUUAGGAGUACAUGACAAAACACACCACACAAUGGGUAUACUCGGCCACUCUCACUAAGUAACAUCAUAAGGUGACCAGUCAGGGUUACUCUGUUUUGCGAGAAUGCCCCAACCACAUGGGAUCAACAUGGGCUUAAAGGAGCACUCAAAUCGAGUAUCUUUACCCCCAAAGCCUAGACUCCGAAGAAUCCGUUUGGGCCUCACCUUCCUGAUUCAGGUCAAACCCCUAAAAUAUUUUUUUUUGCACGCAGACACUGUUUAUGAGUUAUAUAAUACCCACGAUCUCACUAUUAUAUUUCAAAGAUAUUUAACAAAUUGCGCUACAGUUUUACCCUUCAGGAUCCUAACUAGGAAUCCUAUAAUUUCCUUUAACACUGCGCAUAAAAGUUCUCUCAAGAUAAACACUGGUCGGAUUAUUGUAUAACUCAUAACUCACAAGACAAGUAAUAUCACUACAAAUAUCAAUCACACACUCAUUCACAACCAUAUUUCAUGUCUACAGUUUAACAUUUCACACUUUAACUAAUUACAAAUAUAUACUCAACAAUUAAAUAACAAUGUAUCAUAAUACUAAUAACAUACAAUAUAUUAGCUUCAAGACUUAUAAACAAAUAAUUGUAAAAAUACACAUGAAACACAUAUAUAUAAAUAUAUUAUAUUCAAUAUAUAUAUAUAUAUAUAUAUAUAUAUAUAUAUAUAUAUAUAUAUAUAUAUAUAUAUCAAAAGUAUUAAGUAUAUAUUAAUAUAAAAUAAUCACAAUAAUAUCAAACAUAUCAUUAAGUAAAUACAAAUUAUACAUAACAAUAAAAUAUAUACUCAUAUUGAUUUAUAUGAACAACAUGUAUACCUAUAUUCUAAACAUUUUUCAACUAAGUUACCAACAUCAAGAAAAUGCCUAAUUACAAUGUGAAUACAACUUUAGUUAAUUUCUUUAAAUGAUUUUAGCCAAUUCAAUUAUCCAACAAUCCCUACACAUAUGAAUUUCAUGACGAAAAAUCACUCACGUGAAAUAAAAUAUAAAGUUUGUAAAAAAACGAAAAGAAAAAAAAGGUUGUUGGAUCGAGUGGCCUUAGAAUAAUUAAGAAGGGGGGUUGAAUUAAUUAUUCCUAAACCUUUACUAAUUAAAAAUUACUCUUUUAAGGCUUUUACUAAAUUGUUAAGAGAAUGAGGAGUAGAAGAGAAAACUUAACAGAAAGUAAAAGCGGAAAUUAAAUGCACAGCGGAAAGUAAAAGAGUAGGGAAGAAGGAAACAAACACACAAGAGUUUUUAUACUGGUUCAGCAACAACCCGUGCCUACAUCCAGUCCCCAAGCGACCUGCGGUCCUUGAGGUUUCUUUCAACCUUGUAAAAAUCCAUUUACAAGCAAAGAUCCACAAGGGAUGUACCCUCCCUUGUUCUCUUUGAACCUAGUGGAUGUACCCUCCACUAGAAUUGAUCCACAAGAGAUGUACCAUCUCUUGUUCUCAGUCAAACUCAAGUAGAUGUACCCGCUACUUGUACCACAAAGGAUGUAUCCUCCAAUGUGUUGAGACAAAGAUCUCAGGCUAUUAAAUCUUUGAUACUUUGUGAAUGGGGAUACAAAAGAAUUCUCAGGAGGUUAGUCCUUUGAACACUUUUGUAUUAGGGAAUGGGAAGAAUCAAAAGAAUUCUCAGACUGUGUCGUUUUGAAUUCUUUGACAAAGGAGAAGGGAGACACAAAAGAAUUCAGGUGGUUAGUCCUUUGUUCUUUUGGAAAAGGGAGAAGAGAGACACAAAAAGAAUUCAGGCGGUUAGUCCUUGGCGAAUUCUUUUUGGCAAAGGGAGAAGAGAAUGAAAAGAUGAAUAGCACAAGUUUUCAAGGUUUGGAAAAACAGAAAACUUCAGAAAGCUUUUGGUACAAAGAAGAAGAAGAAGUUCAAAGAGAUUCAAGGCUUGUAAAGGAUUGUAUGAAAUAAGUGUUCAAGAUUGUUGUUAGAAAGAUUGAUUGAAAAUGAAAAACAAAGUCUUGCUUUUAUAGACUCUUCAUGUAUGGUCAAGAAGGCCAUUCAGAAGAGUUAUAACUUUUAGAAAAACUUAAAAACCAUUUGAAAAAGUCAAAACCUUUUUGAAGAGUUACAUCUUUAGAUUUUUCAGAAACAAACACUGGUAAUCGAUUACCAAAUAAGUGUAAUCGAUUACACAAAGCUUUUGAGUGAAACAAUGUGACUCUUCACAUUUAAAUUUGAAUUUCAACGUUCAAGGACACUGGUAAUCGAUUACCAAAACAUUGUAAUCGAUUACAGCCUUUUGAAAAUAUUUGGAACGUUGUAAAUUCAGUUUGAAAACUUUUUCAAACUCAUUUUGCUACUGGUAAUCGAUUACAACAAUAUGGUAAUCGAUUACCAUAGAGUAAAAACUCUUUGGUAAAGGUUUUGUCAAAAACUCAUGUGCUAUUCAAAGUUUUGAAAAAAAAACUUUUUAAUACUUAUCUUGAUUGAGUUUUUUCUUCAUUCUUGAAUCUUGAGUCUUGAAUCUUGAUCUUGAUUCUUGAGAUCUUGAAUCUUGAAUCUUGAUUCUUGAUUGUAUACUUUCUUCUUGAGUCUUGAAUUCUUCUUGAUUCUUGAACUCUUGACUUGUUCUUGAUUCACUUGAAAUGUUCUUUGAUUCACUUGAGUUGUUCUUUGAUCUUUUGAGCUUUUUGUUCAUCAUCUUUUGUUGUCAUCAUUGUUAUCAUCAAAACACCUUUGAAUCAUUUUUGAUUCAUCAUGAAGCUUUGCUUCCACAAAGGUAUCAAUAUAUAUGUACAUGUAUACACUGCGGUGCGGAAAAAAAAAAGAACAAGAUUGAAAAGCCAACAUAUCUGGUACAAACAAAAUCACCACCACAUAAUAUUUAUGCUAAUUAUAAAGAAUUCUAAUUCCUAAGGUACACACCUAACACAGGAACACAUCAAUUCUACAACAAACUCGCAACAGAACACCAAUUGAUUCAUCAAACACACUCAGUCCGCGAUUAAACAUGAAAACAUAAUUAAACUUCAUAAACACCCCAAAAUAACCCAAAAAUUGAUCAUCUAGGGAUCCCUACACAUGUUCAUUCUAAUUCCCAAGCGUGAGUAACUCAUCCCUUACCUCGAUGUAGUCACUUAAAUGUUCUCUGUUAGCAAUUGUGGUGUCUCUGGUGCUCUCUAGAGCUCCUCCUCUGGUUGCUCUAUUAGGGUUCUUGUGCGUCAGAAAAGAAGAAAGGAACAGAAUGUGUUUUCUAAAAAGUUGCUCUAGGUUAACAUUUGGCUUAUAUAGUGGGAAUUUAUGACCUAUUUUUUUUACUUAUUUAUUAAUUUCUUAUUUACUUAUUAAAAGUUACGGCUGUUACAACUUCCACUUCCAGUUCUAUUAAUUUCUUUUGGAAUUGUUUCAUAGUUUCAUCCAUAUUUGAAUCCUGGAAAGUUAUAAAGAAAAUAUUAUCUAGAGAAAUUUAUUGUCAGCAACAACAAGCAUUCAGUUGAAUCCAAAUGGAAAAAUAAUGAUAUUUGCUUAAGGUCGUGUUUGGGGUGGUUGUCAGUUUCCAGUUUUCUGUUUUAAAAUGCAAUUUCAAAACGGAAAUGUGUUCGGCAAAAAAUGGAGUUUAGUUGGUUUUUUGCUUCUUUUCAAAACAGAGGUUUUACCCCAUUUCAAAAACUAUAAAAAUAGGUUUGUGGGUUUUUAUUGUUGGUUUUACUCUAAUCCUCUAGCCCUUGUCCCUCAAGCUACUCUCUCUCACUUCAUCGAUCGCGAUCGCCGAUCGCCAAUCGCGGGUCACGAUCGUCGUUUGCUGGUAACUGUCCCAAUAGCCAGUUGCAGUCACUGAUCUGUUAGAAGGGUGAUUCAAUAGCUCUAGUCUGUAACCAAGAGGUUUAUUGGUUAACCUUUUAAAUAGGCAUAGUUAUUGUUGCCUAUAAAUAGACUCAAUACAUGUUGUAAUUGAAAUAACUUCUCAAUAAUACAUUACAUUUGGUGCACAGUUUUGCACAGUAUUGUUUGCACAUUACAGAAAGUUCUUUCCUCUGGUUCUAACAUUUGGUAUCAAGAGCGAGGAAUUCUAGGGAAACUCUGCUGCAAGAAUGGCUCUUAACACCGGAAGCUUUGCCACCGUCCUCCCCAUCCUCGAUAGCAAGAAUUGGGAAAGAUGGUGCAUCCAGAUGAAGGCGAUCCUUGGCUAUCAAGAUGUCAUGGACAUCAUGGAAGAAGGCUACCAAAGCCUUCCUGAAGGGGCUAGGGAGGCGCAGAAAGCUAUCCACAAGGAGAACAAGAAGAAAGACUGCAAGGCAAUGUGUCUUCUUCACCAAUGUGUGGAUAUUCCCCGUUUUGAGAAGAUUGCAGGAGCUGCAACUUCCAAAGAAGCAUGGGACAUUCUGGAAAAGGGAAAUGUCGGUGCAAAUCAAUUGAAGAAAGUAAGGUUGCAAACCAUGAGACGUCAAUAUGAGCUAAUGCAAAUGGAGGAUACAGAAAAGAUUGCAGAUUUCUUCAAUUGAAUUAUCAAGCUGACGAAUUUGAUGAAAUCGUGUGGCGAAACGAUCACAGAAUCCAUAAUUGUUGAAAAAAUAUCGCAAACUCUAACCCUAAGAUUCGAUCAUAUCGUUGUAGCGAUGGAGGAAUCCGGAAAGAUAGAGUCUCUGUAGAUCGAAGAACUUCAAGGAUCGCUUGAAGCCCAUGAGCAAUGGCUCAAUGAAAGAACCACUGAGAGACACAAACUCACAAAAGAGGAGGAAGCAGUGGUAAAAGCUACAACAAAACUGUUGGACAAGUGGCCUCAAAUAUCUUAAGAAGGGGGGUUGAAUUAAGAUAUCACAAUCUUUUCCUAAUCAAAAAUUUUAUUUUGAUUUUAUCCCAAUAACCAAAGAUUCCUUUUAAAAAUGAGCUCCUAAAUAAUAAUGCAAAUUAAUCUUACUAAAUAGAAAUAAUAAGCAAUACACAAUAAACAAUAAAGGAGUUUAAGGGAAGAGAAAAUGCAAACUCAGAUUUAUACUGGUUCGACCACACCCUUGUGGCUACGUCCAGUUCCCAAGCAACCCGCUUGAGAGUUCCACUAUCUUGCAAAAUCCCUUUACAAGUUCUAAACCACACAAGGGCAACCCUUCCUUUGUGUUCAGAUUUCUUUACAACAAGAGACCCUCGGUCUCUUAAUCCCUUUUGAGAAAUAUAAUGAAGAGAAGAAGAAAUCUCUCUUGAAAGAGAUAGAUGUUACAAUUGAGCACUCAAUUAAUUCCUUAUUGAAUUGCAAGUGUAUUGGCCAAGGAAUUCUUAAGAGGAUAAAAUAAUUUUGCUUUUUGAGAGGAUAAGACUUUUUGUUCUGAAAAACUCUGAGCAAAUUCGUAUUCCAAGUCACAUAUAAAUUGACCUUUGAUGGCCAUGUAAAAACCAUUUGAAAAGUUGUGACCCUUGGAAAUAAUUUUCUGAAAAUCUCCUCUGGUAAUCGAUUACAAGACUUGUGUAAUCGAUUACAGGCUUUAAAAUUUGAAUCAAAACGUUUAGUAACUACUGGUAAUCGAUUACCAUUCAUGUGUUAUAAGUCAUUUUGGUCACUGGUAAUCAAUUACAUCCUCUGAUAAUCGUUUACCAGAGAGUAAAUCUCUUGAAAAAGACAUUUUUGCUUAAAUUUCUUGGCCAAACCUUUUGCAGUUUCAAUUUGGAAUUCCCUUCCUAAAACACUAGAGAUCUUCUUGAUGUUGUAUCUUGUAUUCUUGGAUUUUUGUCUUAAAUUAAACUUGAAAAGCACAUUUUCAUAAGGCAUCAAAACAUCACGAUCAUAUGGCAUCAUCAAAACAUCAAAGGCAAAGUCUUUGCUUCUACAAAAACACGAGGUAGGGGUAGAGAUCCAAGAUCAAAUGCUGGAAAGGCUCCUCAACAGCAAGAACCUGAAAAACAUAACUCAAAACAACCUGAAUCGUCCAAUGGUAGAGGAGGAUAUAGGCAAUAUAGACGAGGAAAGAAAAGAUUUGAUAGAAAGAGGCUUAAAUGCUUCAAUUGUGGUAAAAUUGGGCAUUUCUCUGCAGAAUGCCAUGCACCAACUCAGAAUCAGUACAGGGGGAGACAAGAUCCAGAAGCAAACUUGGCAAAAGGUGAAGAUGUUGAUGUAGAAGACAACCCCUUGUUAUUGAUGAUGACAACAAAUACAGAGGCUGGAAACGAUGAUACUCGGUAUCUUGACUCAGGAUGCUCCAAUCAUAUGACUGGACAUAAAGAAUGGCUGGUGAAUUUUGAUAUGAAGAAGAGAAGCAAGGUCAAAUUCACAGACAAUAGAGUCAUUGAAGUAGAAGGAACUGGUGAUGUGCUUAUCCAAAGGAAAGAUGGAGGCCAAGCCUUGAUAACAGAGGUUUUGUAUAUUCCCACAAUGAAGAACAAUCUGUUAAGCAUUGAUUAGUUACUGUAGAAAGGAUUCAGCAUGAACCUCCAUGAUGGCACAAUGGAGAUCUUUGACAGAAUGCAGAAGAAAAUACUAAAGGCCAAAAUCUCAGAGAAUAGGACCUUCCAAGUGAAGCUAGGAGCAUUUGAUUCUCAGUGCCUAAAUGCAGAAACCAAAUUAGAUGAGUCUUGGCUUUGGCACAUGAGGUAUGGACAUCUCAAUUUCAAAGAUGUAAACCUUUUACAUGUAAAAGAUAUAGUGACUGGUUUGUCACAAGUUAGAAUCCCGAAAUCUAUUUGUGACCAUUGCAUGAUUAGCAAACAAACAAGAGCAUCCUUUAGCAACUACGCACACCCAUUAUAGCCAAUGAUUUACUACAUGUAGUGUACUCUGAUGUUUGUGGACCAUUUGAGGUUCCCUCUCUAGGUGGGAACAGGUUCUUUGUGUCUUUUGUUGAUGAAUUUAGCAGGAAAAUAUGGACAUACUUACUCAAGGUUAAGAGUGAAGUAUUUGAGAACCUAAAGAAAUUCACAGCCAUGACUGAAAAACAAUCAGGGAAGAAGUUGAACAUCCUUAGAACAAAUGGAGGAGGAGAGUUCAACUCUAGAGAAAUUGAAGCCUUUUGCAUAGACAAAGGCAUCCUACAUGAAGUAACAGCCCCCUACACACCACAACACAAUGGUGUGGUAGAGAGAAGAAACAGGACCAUUAUGAACAUGGUGAGGAGCAUGUUGAAAGGAAAGAACCUACCUAAAGCCCUAUGGGGAGAAGCAGUUGUCACAGCAACAUAUGUACUGAAUAGGUGCCUCAUACAACAACUUAAAAAUCAAGUAUUAGAAUCUGUAUGGUUAGGGAAAACACCAUCUGUGAAGCAUAUGAGAUUUUUUGCCUCAACAUGUUACAGACAUAUUCCUGAUCAAACAAGGAAGAAAUUGGAUGACAAGAGUGAACACAUGAUCUUCGUUGGCUACAAUCGCACAAGGUCAUACAAACUCUUAAAUCCAAGAACGAAUCAAAUAGUUUUCAAUAGGGAUGUGUAAUUUGAUGAGUUGAACACAUGGAUAAAGGACAAGCAUGAUCCAGGCAAGAAGCCAAUGAUGCAUAUUAACAUAAAAACAUUGAGUGAACCAGAACUUGAUGAUAUAACAGGUGAAGUUCAAGCUAAACCUACAGGUGCAGUUCAAGAAGUAGAGGGAAGAAGAUCCACAAGGACUAGAAGUUUGCCAACAAGACUAGAAGACUAUGAGAUGUUUCUUGAUAGUGCAAUUGAUGAUGAUGGUCAAUUGGUUCAUCUAGCAAUAAUGGGAGAAGUAGAACCUGUCACCUUCCAAGAAGCAAUUAAAAAGGAAGUAUGGUUAGAUGCUAUGAGAGAAGAGUUGAAAGCCAUAUAGAGGAACAAGACAUGGGAGUUGGCUAGUCUAUCAAAUGGCAAAACAACUAUAAAGGUCAAAUGGGUUUUCAAGAACAAGCUCAAACCAGAUGGGAGUAUUGCUAAACACAAAGUCAGGCUAGUGGCAAAGGGCUUUAUGCAGAAAGAAGGCUAUGAUUACAAAGAAGUCUUUGCACCAGUGGCGAGGUUUGAGACUGUGAGGUUGAUAGUUGCUUUGGCAAGUUGGAAAGGAUGAAAACUAUGGCAAAUGGAUGUAAAGUCUGCCUUCCUAAAUGGACCCCUAGAAGAAAAAGUAUAUGUACAACAACCUCCUGGAUUUGAGACUGUAGGACAAGAAGAUAAAGUGUUGAAGUUGAAGAAAGCACUAUAUAGGCUCAAACAAGCACCUAGAGCAUGGAAUAAGAGAAUUGACUCAUUCCUAACUAAUAGUGGAUUCAAGAAAUGCGUUGUAGAGCAUGGUCUCUAUGUGAAAUUUCUAAAGAAUGAUGAAGUUCUAUUGCUAUGCCUUUAUGUAGAUGACUUGGUAAUUACAGGAAGCAACAUGGGGAAAUUGAGAACUUGAAGACACAGCUAGGGUCAAAAUUUGAGAUGACUGACCUUGGAUAACUUUCUUACUUCUUGGGCAUUGAGUUCAUGAAGACUAGCAGAGGCAUUAUAAUGCAUCAGAGGAAACACAUCACUGAAACUUUGAAGAGGUUUCACAUGCAAAACUGCAACUUAGUAGCAAUUCCAGUAUAGGCCAAUUUGAAGAUUGACAACUCUGAAAGUGAACAGAAUGUAGAUGCAACUUUGUAUAGACAAAUUGUUGGGUGUUUGAGGUUCAUUUGUCAUAGUAGACCAGAUAUUUCUUAUGGUGUUGGAGUGAUUAGCAAAUUUAUGACUCGUCCAAAGCAAUCUCAUCUAGCAGCAGCCAAAAGGAUCAUGAGGUGCCUAAAGGGGACAAAAAACUGUGGUAUUUUGUUUCCAAAUCAGAAAGAGAAUGGUGAUCUACAUCUCGUGGGUUAUACAGACUCAGACUGGUGUGGAGAUAAAGUAGAUAGAAGAAGCAUUUCUGGUUUUGUGUUCUUGUUAUCAGGUGCUCCAAUAUCCUAGAGUUCAAGAAAGCAAGAUAUUGUUGCUUUGUCAACCUGUGAGGUCGAGUACGUAGCUGCAUGCAAUGCAUCGUGUCAAGGUCUCUAGCUAUUGUCCUUACUAGCUGAGUUGAAGUGUGGCAGUUUUGAGAAGAUUGAGCUGCAAAUUAACAGUAAAUCUGCCAUAGAUUUGGCCAAGAAUCCUGUGAGCCAUGGGAAAAGCAAACAUAUAGAGACUAAGUUUCAUUUUCUCAGGGAUCAAGUGUGCAGAGGAAGGAUAGGUUUGCAUCAUUGUCCAAUAGAAGUUCAAGUGGCUGAUAUUUUGACCAAAGGAUUGAAGACUCAGAGGUUUUUGAUGCUGAGAAAGAUGCUGAACAUUGUGUGUUUCUGAUGUUUUUUUUUAGCAGUGUUCAGUAUUGUAUAAGUCUAGAGACUAAGUUUCAUUUUCUCAGGGAUCAAGUGUGCAGAGGAAGGAUAGGUUUGCAUCAUUGUCCAAUAGAAGUUCAAGUGGCUGAUAUUUUGACCAAAGGAUUGAAGACUCAGAGGUUUUUGAUGCUGAGAAAGAUGCUGAACAUUGUGUGUUUCUGAUGUUUUUUUUUAGCAGUGUUCAGUAUUGUAUAAGUCUAGAGCUUUUGAAUUAUAGGGGGGUGUUAAACGGGUAAUUCAAUACCUCUAGUCUAUAACCAAGAGGUUUACUGGUUAACCUUGUAAAUAGGCAUGGUUACUAUUGCCUAUAAAUAGACUCAAUACAUGUUGUAAUUGAAAUAACUUCUCAAUAAUACAUUACAUUUGGUGCACAGUAUUUUUUGCACAUUACAAAAAAUUCUUUCCUCUGGUUCUAACAUGAUCAAGGGUUGUUGGUCAUCGAUACAUUCUAUUGACCUUUUUUUGGAUUACAAAAUUUUGAUAUUAAAGAUACAUGCGAGAAAUUUGGGAAUGGUUUUGAAAUUAAAAAUUCAAAACGAAAACUAGAUUUGAUUUUCAAAUAUUUCAUAACGGAAAACGAAAAACCAACCCAAAGGAGGCCUUAGUUUUAUUAAAUAUAAUAGUUGAAAUAAUUGCGUAAAUAUUAUACUGGUGAUAAAAAUGAAAAAAGAUAAUAAUAACGUUGAUGAUGAUAGAUCGCAAGUCGCAACACGGAAACGAGAAAAUCCUUUUAAACUCACCAGAGAAGGUCGUUGGAAUCGCCGGUUGAGUUAAUGGUGUCGUCGUCACAAAAAGUUGCGCCACAAUGUGAGUGAAGCGUAGUGUAACGGAUCCGCACACACAACACAACAGUUCAUUUUACAUUUUGAGAAUUUUGGAUGGAAAGUUGCUAUUUGCACUACCACUUUUGUUAUUCUCACUAGCCACGUGGGUGGUCUUUUAUUUACAUUUUGAGAUAAUUGCGUAAAUAUUAUACUGGUGAUAAAAAUGAAAAAAGAUAAUAAUAACGUUGAUGAUGAUAGAUCGCAAGUCGCAACACGGAAACGAGAAAAUCCUUUUAAACUCACCAGAGAAGGUCGUUGGAAUCGCCGGUUGAGUUAAUGGUGUCGUCGUCACAAAAAGUUGCGCCACAAUGUGAGUGAAGCGUAGUGUAACGGAUCCGCACACACAACACAACAGUUCAUUUUACAUUUUGAGAAUUUUGGAUGGAAAGUUGCUAUUUGCACUACCACUUUUGUUAUUCUCACUAGCCACGUGGGUGGUCUUUUAUUUACAUUUUGAGAUAAUUGCGUAAAUAUUAUACUGGUGAUAAAAAUGAAAAAAGAUAAUAAUAACGUUGAUGAUGAUAGAUCGCAAGUCGCAACACGGAAACGAGAAAAUCCUUUUAAACUCACCAGAGAAGGUCGUUGGAAUCGCCGGUUGAGUUAAUGGUGCCGUCGUCACAAAAAGUUGCGCCACAAUGUGAGUGAAGCGUAGUGUAACGGAUCCGCGCACACAACACAACAGUUCAUUUUACAUUUUGAGAAUUUUGGACGGAGAGUUGCUAUUUGCACUAUCACUUUUGUUAUUCUCACUAGCCACGUGGGUGGUCUUUUAUUUAAUAGAAUAUAUCCUUCACCAAAUUUUAGCAUAUGAAAUAUGAACACUUUUGGGCUGAUUAAUUAUUUUAUUAUAUCUUAAAAUUAUUAUAUUCUCUCAAAAAAUAUUUAUUAUAUCUUAAAAUUUCUUCUAAUUGAUCUUUGAAAAAAAUAAUUAACCUGCAUCAUUGUAGACCCUGUUAAAUAUCGUAAUUUAUUCAAAAUAUUGUUUAUAAACUUAAAUGUUAUAAAUUUAAGAAAAAUAUUUUUAAUUAUAAUAUAUUGCGCAAGAGUUAUCGUUUUUACAAUUGUGUAGUAAACACUUUAUUGUUAAAUAUUGCACAAGAGUUAAAUAAUUUCCCAAUUAAAUAUAAAUCUAUUUUUAUUAUAAAAAUCAAUCAACAAUGAUAUAUGAUUUUUUAUAUAUAUUUUAAGAGUUUAAUAUUUAUAUAAUCAAAAUAUAAAACAAUUUUAUAUUACCAUUAAGUCACAUACUAUUUAAAUUAUUUUAAGAUAAUUAUUAAACUUAUUAUAUAUGAUAAAUUAUAAUUAAAUGUCUGUAAAAUCUUUUACAAUUUAGUACAUAACCUUUUUUUCUAUUUUUAAUUCUUACAUUUAUAACAAAUUGUGACAACAAACAUAACAAUGACAAUAACAAUUAAAUAACAAAGACAAUAACAAUAACAAUAAUGAUAGUAAUGUUACAACUUACAAGUCUUUCGAUAAAAAUUAUCUUUGCAACUUACAAGUCUUUCGAUAAAAAUUAUCUUUGCAACUAAGAUCCAAGACUAAUUUUUUAUUUUAAAAUUAAAUUAAAAAGUCUGAAAUAAAUUAAAACCAAUUGUCUUUAUUUAACCAAACAGAUUUUCGAAAUUUAUAUUUGAAAACUAAAAACUUACAACCAUUAUUACCAAAUAAAAGGCAUUAAAGCCAAAUGACCAACAGAGAAAUGGAUGAGCGAAUAAUAACUAGCUAAUAAUUACAUGCAUAAACAACAAUCCUGCAAUAAAUUAGUCUAAACUUCUGCCUGUUGAUAUAAGCUAAAAUAAUAUGUUGUACAAACAUCUUUCCAUCAAACCAAGUGGUAGAGGAGUAACAAGAGGGUAAUAUGACGAGAGAAAAAAAAAUGUCCUACUUAUUCUGUGAAACAAACACAUAACAGGCAACACAACAAUGAAGCAUAAUCUCUAACAUACUUAUGGUUCUUUAAUGGAAGGCUACCUAGGCUCUUGUUCUCCACCAUGUUCAUGACUAAACAUUAACUGCCACCUACAAAGUGCGACUUGGCAUGCCGCGUCCCCUCCCUCGUCCAGAGUAGCCAUACCCUCCUCCUCUUCCAUAAUAACCACCUCGAGUACGUCCACCACGGCCAGGGCCACGGCCCCCACGACCACCAUGGUACCUCACAUAAUCGCCAAACGUCUGAACCACAAAUCACCAAAAGUAUUAACAUUGUCACCCCAAAAUAUGAAAUCUAAGAACGAGAGAAAUUACCUCAGUAUCAAUCUUGAUUUGUUCGGAGUAUCGAGUCCUUCCAUUCUGUGAAGCAUUACCAUGCAUGUUGGAAGAGAGCGAGUCAAAGAAGUCGUCCUUGUUAUAAACAGGCUGCAAAAACCAUGAAAAACAGAGAAACAAACACGAUAGGAAGACAAGAAAACAAAUUACAGAAAUACAUGUCGGUAAAAACUGGAUGCAUAUAAAGCUGCACAUUAGAUAACAUUACCUUAACCUCAAUGUUUGAUACAUCGUCAUUGUCUUCAUCUUGGUAAUCUUCAUCAAAGGCAUUUUCUUCCCCGUUAUUGUCUUUUGAAUGAGACUUACUUUUACCAAGAUGACCCCAUACUUCAUCCUUUUUGAACUUCUCAUUCAUUGCUGUGAAAUCAAAAUCUUCAGUGAAUUUUGUGACUGAGCGGAAACCCUGCAAACAUUAAUCAAAUUUUUCAUGAACUCAACUGAAUAUUACAAUUAUAAUCUUAUCAAUAGAAGAAAACAAAAUCAAAAUAUUGACAAUUUUCUGGCAGAUUCAUUUAGCUAAUCUUAAUGAUCCAACAUUUACUAUAAAAAAAAACAUAAAAUAGAGCAUAUUUCAUUGUAGAUAUUUAUAAUAAGUGAUGAUUGAAGUUUGAAAACUCGAAAGUAACAACCCCAAGCCCAUCCACCCCCUUCCCCUCAAAACAAGAAAGCCUUUAAAACUCCAAAUCAUUAUUCAUUCAAUACAUUCUCGAUUUCUAUCGGUACAAGUGAUUCUAAAAAUGCCUACAAAUAUAAAUGAAACAGUAAAUUGAAAGUUACCCCAGUUCCUCUUCCUCUUCCACGUCCUCUAUAACUAUAGCCAUGAUGAUGAGUUUGGGUAGGAGCUCCACCAGGCUUAAAAAAAUGCAACCAAGUAGUGUCAGAAGUUGAUCUCAAUCAGAAUAGAUGGUAAACAAAAUAAGAUAAUAAUCAUAAUAUAAUUAAACAUUCAUACUUAUGGUAUUAGGUAUUAAUCACUUGGUGCAAAUUUUAUUCGAUAAAAGCACAAAGCAAACAAAUUAAGAAAGGUUCAUCGAUCAUCAUAAUUCAAGUAUGGAAGUCACCAAUUAAAACCAUAGACAAACCAAAACAAAUCCAACACUAAUACUCUGCAAAAAGAAACGGAAAGAAAACAGAAAAGUUGAUCAAGAGGGAAGAGUUUGUAAACAAUCUAAAUUACAUAACACAACUUCCCCAUAUUCCACCAGAAUAGAUCAUAGCCUAGCUUACAGGAUGGGAAGGGUGCAACUUGCCAUGGAAGAUUAAAGUGAAAGUGUCAUAUAAUUGCCAUGUUUGCAACAACAUUAGAACACGUCAAAUGCACAUCCAACUUGGACUAAAAUGAAAAUAUAUAACUCAUGCAUUGAGUUGAAAAUUUUAUAUCAACUUUCACUACAAACUUGCUUUUUAGAUAAGUGUUUUCAAAUACAAGUCCCUUGGAAUUUAGUGCAUUUGGUUUCAUGAUCGAAAGCUUUAGAAUUGAUUUUCCUUCCAGUACAUGAUUUUAGUAGAAAUUUAGAUGUUUAGUUAUUUGUUAAGGAAAAAGUGAUUUUGCUGCAAAACUUAAGUUUAACUAUUAGUGAUAAAACAUAACUUUUGGGUUUAGUGGAAAAAUUUAGACAAUGUUUUACAUCAAACUUGCUUUCAAGAUAAAAACAUCCAAUCAUGAAUAACUUUCCUUCAAAAUCAAUUAUACAAAAUUAAUUUCAUUCAAAAUCAAUUUUGUAAAUGCUCGUCCAAACAAACUUACUUCUAACCAUUACUUCUAACCAAAAUCAAUUUUGCAAAAAAUGCUCAUCCAAACUCACUAAAUACCUUUGGAUGAUGAAAUUAUUCUAGUUAAUUUACGAGGCUCUGAUCUCCACCAUGUUAACAUAUUGUAUAAAAACAUACAAGCACAUGCAAAACCAUAACAAGUGGGUGUGUGUGUGUGUGUCUGCAUGAAACAAACUGAUAGAUCAAGAGAAAGAAGGAUACCCUGUGAUUGGGCCGUGAAGUUACUGGCAAUGGCAGUAUUGGUGGUUGAGUUUCCACAGAAACUGGUACAGAUGGCUCAGGAGAUGAUGUUGAUGAUACCUGAACAACUUCAACAUCCUUAUGAGGUGCUUGUGAAGGCUGAGCCGAAGAAACUAUAAUUGGUCCAGGCUUCAAUAAUUGUCCUGGGGUUACCAAAGAAGGUGCUGAUGUUUCUGUGUGGAUAGAAGUCGAUGAUUCAACAACUGCAGGAGACAACUGGGAUACAGAUUGGUAGGGCAAGCUUGAACCUGAAAUUGCAUUCGAUUUGCUGGAAAUGGGUGGCACUAUAGCAUUGAUAUCUCGAGCAGGAUUGGUCAGCAAAGCCAGUGAUGGUAAGUUAGAAGCUAACAUGGCUGCGGAAGUUGAAACAUUGGGUGCCUUAUUUGCUACUGAUACUGGAAAAAUUUCAGAAGCAAGCGUUGCAGAAGGAACGGGAGAUAAAGCAGAAGGAGCAGGAGGCAAGGCUGAAGGAGCAGGAGGCAAAGCAGAAGGUGCUGGAGGCAAAUUAGGAGGCAAGGAAGCAGAUGUUACACUAGGGGUACUAGCACUCACAGGCAGCAAAGAUGAUGGCAAUUCAGGCAAAUUAGA